CCUACGGGAGGCAGCAGUGAGGAAUAUUGGUCAAUGGGCGCGAGCCUGAACCAGCCAAGUAGCGUGAAGGAUGACUGCCCUACGGGUUGUAAACUUCUUUUAUAAAGGAAUAAAGUGAGGCACGCGUGCCUUUUUGUAUGUACUUUAUGAAUAAGGAUCGGCUAACUCCGUGCCAGCAGCCGCGGUAAUACGGAGGAUCCGAGCGUUAUCCGGAUUUAGUGGGUUUAAAGGGAGCGUAGAUGGGUUGUUAAGUCAGUUGUGAAAGUUUGCGGCUCAACCAUAAAAUUGCAUUUGAUACUGGCAGUCUUGAGUACAGUAGAGGUGGGCGGAAUUCGUGGUGUAGCGGUGAAAUGCUUAGAUAUCACGAAGAACUCCGAUUGCGAAGGCAGCUUACUAAACUGCCACUGACACUGAUGCUCGAAAGUGUGGGUAUCAAACAGGAUUAGAUACCCCUGUAGUC
rnacentral:rRNA from 1 species